rnacentral:rRNA from 1 species
AGUGAACGCUGGCGGCGUGCUUAAUACAUGCAAGUCGAACGAUGAAGUCCUAGCUUUCUAGGAUGGAUUAGUGGCGCACGGGUGAGUAAUAUAUAGUUAAUCUGCCUUGCACUGAGGAACAACAGUUGGAAACGAUUGCUAAUACCUCAUACUCCAACUUUACAUAUGUUAAGGUGGGAAAGUCUUUUCGGUGCAAGAUGAGACUAUAUCGUAUCAGCUAGUUGGUAAGGUAAUUGCUUACCAAGGCUAUGACGCGUAACUGGUCUGAGAGGAUGAUCAGACACAUUGGAACUGAGACACGGUCCAACCUCCUACGGGAGGCAGCAGUAAGGUAUAUUGAGCAAUGGGGGCAACACUGACGCAGCAACGCCGCGUGGAGAAUGACAUUUUUCGGAGCGUAAAUUCCUUUUGUGAGGGAAGAAUAAUGACGGUACCUAACGAAUAAGCACCGGCUAACUCCGUG